rnacentral:rRNA from 1 species
CAGUAGCCGCGGUAAUACGAAGGGGGCUAGCGUUGUUCGGAAUUACUGGGCGUAAAGCGCACGUAGGCGGAUCGAUCAGUCAGGGGUGAAAUCCCAGGGCUCAACCCUGGAACUGCCUUUGAUACUGUCGAUCUGGAGUAUGGAAGAGGUGAGUGGAAUUCCGAGUGUAGAGGUGAAAUUCGUAGAUAUUCGGAGGAACACCAGUGGCGAAGGCGGCUCACUGGCCCAUUACUGACGCUGAGGUGCGAAAGCGUGGGGAGCAAACAGGAUUAGAUACCCCCGUAGUCCCUGUCUCUUAUAC